rnacentral:rRNA from 1 species
AUUGAACGCUGGCGGAAUGCUUUACACAUGCAAGUCGAACGGCAGCACGGACUUCGGUCUGGUGGCGAGUGGCGAACGGGUGAGUAAUGUAUCGGAACGUGCCCAGUCGUGGGGGAUAACGUAGUGAAAAUUACGCUAAUACCGCAUACGAUCUAUGGAUGAAAGCGGGGGAUCGCAAGACCUCGCGCGAUUGGAGCGGCCGAUAUCAGAUUAGGUAGUUGGUGGGGUAAAGGCCCACCAAGCCAACGAUCUGUAGCUGGUCUGAGAGGACGACCAGCCCAACUGGAACUGAGACACGGUCCAGACUCCUGCGGGAAGCAGCAGUGGGGAAUUUUGGACAAUGGGCGAAAGCCUGAUCCAGCCAUUCCGCGUGCAGGAUGAAGGCCCUCGGGUUGUAAACUGCUUUUGUACAGAACGAAAAGGUUUCUACUAAUACUAGGAGCUCAUGACGGUACUGUAAGAAUAAGCACCGGCUAACUACGUGCCAGCCGCCGCAGUAA